UGUUAAGUCAGAUGUGAAAUCCCCGGGCUUAACCUGGGAACUGCAUUUGAAACUGGCAGGCUUGAGUCUUGUAGAGGGGGGUAGAAUUCCAGGUGUAGCGGUGAAAUGCGUAGAGAUCUGGAGGAAUACCGGUGGCGAAGGCGGCCCCCUGGACAAAGACUGACGCUCAGGUGCGAAAGCGUGGGGAGCAAACAGGAUUAGAUACCCUGGUAGUCCACGCCGUAAACGAUGUCGACUUGGAGGUUGUUCCCUUGAGGAGUGGCUUCCGGAGCUAACGCGUUAAGUCGACCGCCUGGGGAGUACGGCCGCAAGGUUAAAACUCAAAUGAAUUGACGGGGGCCCGCACAAGCGGUGGAGCAUGUGGUUUAAUUCGAUGCAACGCGAAGAACCUUACCUACUCUUGACAUCCAGAGA
rnacentral:rRNA from 1 species